UCCUAAAAAGCUUGGACUCUAUCCAAAUUAUGCCGCCCACCACUUCUCAUAUUAGUGCCCCAUAUCUAAUGGUAAUUAAGGAGUUUAUUCCUUCUUUCUUACAUGAUAAAAAGAGGAGCAAUGGUGGCACGGAAACUUGGUGGGCGUGGGACUUUUGGGUGCACAUAAUGAAGGUCAACGUGGAGUCCUUUUGGUGCAUG
rnacentral:lncRNA from 1 species